rnacentral:lncRNA from 1 species
UCUGCAGGGGGUUAUCAGUGAAUAUGGAGGAAAGGUCCACAUGUCAGGUUUACAUAGAGAUAUUAACGUGCACUGCAAUUAUCCAACAUCUAGAAGAGUCCACAAGCCACGGAAACGAGCGGGAGGCCGAGCGGGCCCGGGGGCUUGGCGCCCGCCCAAGGCUCUCAGCCAAUCAGGCUCCGUCUUGCGGAUAAUACUCCACCGACCUAAAUGAUUAAGGAAAACCGUGCGAUUAAGGUCAGUUUGAUCCGACGGCCCAU